CCCUUAGAUGUUCUGGGCCGCACACGCGCUACACUGAAGGAGGCAGCGUGUACUCCUGGAUCGAAAGAUUUGGGUAACCCGCGAAUCUCCUUCGUGCUAGGGAUUGAGGUUUGCAAUUAUCCUUCAUGAACGAGGAAUUCCCAGUAAGUGCAAGUCAUAAGCUUGCGCUGACUACGUCCCUGCCCUUUGUAUACACCGCCCGUCGCUACUACCGAUUGAAUGAUUUAGUGAGGACUUCGGACUGGGACCGAUGCGGCUUUCGGGCUGCGUCGGUAUUCUGGAAAGAUGUCCAAACUGUAUCAUUUAGAGGAAGUAAAANUCGUANCA
rnacentral:rRNA from 1 species